rnacentral:rRNA from 1 species
CCUACGGGAGGCAGCAGUAAGGAAUAUUGGUCAAUGGAGGCAACUCUGAACCAGCCAUGCCGCGUGCAGGAUGACGGCCCUAUGGGUUGUAAACUGCUUUUGUACCAGAGAAAACCUACUCACGUGUGAGUAGCUGAUAGUAUGGUAAGAAUAAGCAUCGGCUAACUUCGUGCCAGCAGCCGCGGUAAGACGAAGGAUGCAAGCGUUAUCCGGAUUCAUUGGGUUUAAAGGGUGCGUAGGCGGACUUGUAAGUCAGUGGUGAAAUCUCUUCGCUUAACGAAGAAACUGCCAUUGAUACUGCAGGUCUAGAGUAUAGAUGACGUUGGCGGAAUAUGACAUGCAGUGGUGAAAUACUUAGAUAUGUCAUAGAACACCGAUUGCGAAGGCAGCUAACGAAACUAUAACUGACGCUGAGCGACGAAGUAGCGGGAGUACAACAAGAGUAGUACUACCUACGGUACGUACCGCCGACCGUAACGAAUAGUAUUACUUACGUUGUUGGUCGUAGUAGUGACGAGU